GAGGGGGGUUGUUCCAUCCUCUGUUGAAUGAUAGUCUGUGAAGAUGGAAGUUUUCUUCCUUGCUCUAAAAUUCCAGCCUUUAAUGCAAAUCCUUCCUUGCUCAAAGACUGGCAUUUUUAUCCUGCACUUUAACUCCUGAAGCAAUCUACUCCACUCCAUCACGGAGAGGAUCUACCAACUUGAAGAGUUGCUUCUUUGCUAUGUUGCAUGACCAGCUUCCUCAACUACUAGCAAUAUAAAUUGCCAGUUGCAGAAAUUGAGGCAAGAAGAAUAGAGUUUGGGUGUUUAUAGAUAUAGUUCCACAAAAUCAUGUUUGAUGGAUAAAAUACAAGCAGUCGUCGUGUGUCGUUCAUUACUUGAAAGGGCUGAGACCAGACACAACAAUGAGAUCAUCAGUGGGAACUUCCAAGUUGUUGACACAGCUCCUGCACAUUCCCAUGCAUGUGGAGCUUAGAAAGUGAGAAGCCUAUUGAUUU